rnacentral:rRNA from 1 species
UACGUAGGUGGCAAGCGUUAUCCGGAUUUAUUGGGCGUAAAGAGAACGCAGGCGGUCUUUUAAGUCUGAUGUGAAAGCCUUCGGCUUAACCGGAGUAGUACAUUGGAAACUGGUAGACUUGAGUGCAGGAGAGGAGAGUGGAAUUCCAUGUGUAGCGGUGAAAUACGUAGAUAUAUGGAGGAACACCGGUGGCGAAAGCGGCUCUCUGGCCUGUAACUGACACUGAGGCUCGAAAGCGUGGGGAGCAAACAGG